GCCCGGGUGGCGGAAUUGGUAGACGCAAGGGACUUAAAAUCCCUCGGCCGAAUAGGCUGUGCCGGUUCGACUCCGGCCUCGGGCA
rfam:Candidate division WOR_1 bacterium DG_54_3 WOR1_52_54_1341, whole genome shotgun sequence.